rnacentral:lncRNA from 1 species
UAAAUUUUGAUAUGUUAGAUUUCUUUGAAUCUAGAAUCGGUAGAAUCAAGCGGCUCACAAUUUGGACUCUCCGAUCUCAAGAUAUGAAUCUUUUGUCGAGAGUUCGCAAAGCUAUGAGAUCAACACGGACUAUACGUGUAGAUCAAUUUCGAAAAUUAAUUUCAGCUAAUACAAAAGGAGAUUCGUGCUGAUUUUUUUUAUAUGUUUCAGUCCUAUGAGUCUACUUUCGGUAGAAAUAAGCAGCUCAUGAUUUGAAGUUUCCUACAAUAAAAUAUAAAUUCUUUUUCUCAAGGGUACAAAGUUGGUUGACUGGUACUGCAAUUAAAAAAAGGCAUGACUGAUAUUCUUUCUGUUUUAGAGGGAGAAAUAAACGAAGAAAGAAGUGAAAGCAGACUACGAGCAACCGUGUUUAGCGUGAAAGAAACCCUAUGUUCACGACUCUCAUAUGUCAAGGUAAAAGAAAAAAAGAUCCCUUAUAUAGAUUGUUUAAGGUGGUGAAACUUUCCUUAUGGAAAAAGAAUUCUUCUUAAAAUAAAAUAGAAAAUUCUUUUUUAACUUGAAAGUUUUAAAUGGCAAAUAUUCAUUUGAAUGUAACUUUUGAGAAGUAUUUGAAUAAGCCAAAGAAAACGAAAAAUUUGCCGCUGUAAAGUCGGGGAAUAAGAAGUUGAUCGAGAUUGAAAAUUUCAAAGGAAUCCUUUCUCACAAGAAAAGGAUCAGGCCAAGUAGUUAAGUAAUACAAGGAAGGAGUCCAACAAUUUAGUAUUUUAAAAAAAUACUCGAAUAGUUAUUUCCAGCUUAGGUUGGCCAAAUACACGGGAGAAGUCAAGUUCUUUACCUUCUCACAUCAAUCCAAGAGAGGUGAUCAAGUUCCUUACAAAGACUCCAAUGUGGCAUUUGAAUCUUUAGCUAAGUGAAUGUACUUGGAUUGAUCAUACAAAUUAAUUUGUUGCACACAUGGAAUGUAAUUGGAUUCAUCCGUGCUUACUCAUUGUUUGAACAUACUAAUCAUCUCCCAAUGGGUACAUUAUUUAAUUAAGGAUUAUUUAAUUAAAUUAAGUACUUAUUCUGCCAAAGAUGGGAGUAGUUGGACGUGAGUACAAAUUCAUCAAUUUGUUUUAGGUGAGAAUGGUAUCAAACAAAUUGUCUGCACUUAAAACGAUGACAUGCACAUGUACUUCAAAUCUCGUCUCUAUGGUUCGUCAAUUCUACACCUCGACAAAUCUUGAAGUAGGGGAUAUCUGUAGACAUAUAAAAUUUAUUGGGUCUAAUCCAUACAAAGUUUUUGGAUUAAAUUUAAUUGGGUUAAAUAAUUAAUUUGGCUUUACAGGUUAAAUUAGUCAAUUUUAUUAUUUUCGAGUCCAAAGUUCAUUUCAUCUUAAAACCCAGACUCAUGCCAUGUGUCAAGUGACAUGACAUAUCUAGUCAAACUGCAAGCCAAAUAGAUGAUGCCGCGUGUUAAAUGAUGUGGCAAUUCAAGUCAAAAAGUAAGAACCAAUCACAGGUUCCCAAGUAGCUAAAAUAACAUGGGCCAAUCAGAAUCAAGCAAGAGAGUUCAUAUGUAGCUGGACUGUCCAUCCUCUACAACUACAAAUAGAGGGGUUACAUAACUCUCAAGACAUCCAGAAUUGGAGAAGAACAUUCCGCAAUUGGUGAAGGCAUCCACAAACAGAGAGAUCAAUCAUCAAGUGCAUAGUUCUUCAACAAAGGAGUGAUCAACAAAGUUCUUCCCGGAGAUCAACCUGUAACAACAAAGUGAUGCUCGACGUUCUUGGCGAUUAAAUACAUUACAAGGAGGUAUGCAUCGUCCUACAUUCGAGAAAGACGCUUCUCAAGCCCUCGAAUCACGAAGAGUUUUAGAGAGGAGAAUCCAGGGAUACAUAGAAUUGUACUCACAAAUAUUUAUCAAUAAAAUCUCUUUUUCUUCAUAUUAUUUUUGUUGCAGUUUAUUUUUCGGACUACAAAAAUUUGUUGCGAACAAAUACAAAGUUUAUU